UGCCAGCCGCCGCGGUAAUACGGAGGGGGUUAGCGUUGUUCGGAAUUACUGGGCGUAAAGCGCGCGUAGGCGGAUUGGAAAGUUGGGGGUGAAAUCCCGGGGCUCAACCCCGGAACUGCCUCCAAAACUGCCAGUCUAGAGUUCGAGAGAGGUGAGUGGAACUCCAAGUGUAGAGGUGAAAUUCGUAGAUAUUUGGAAGAACACCAGUGGCGAAGGCGGCUCACUGGCUCGAUACUGACGCUGAGGUGCGAAAGUGUGGGGAGCAAACAGGAUUAGAUA
rnacentral:rRNA from 1 species